AUGAUUUAUAGUUGGACUUACAAAGUUUGUAAAAAAGUGUUUAUAAUAUUGUUUCUUUCCUUCCCGAAUUAUUGUUUAUCUGUCAGAAAAGUUUUAGGGAUGAGUCGUGGCAGGCUUCGCUAGAAAUUUAAUAAGAAAUCAAGACAUCAAGAAUCAUAAAAAAUAAAACUAAAUUUUAAAAUUUUUUCUAAUUCUUUGACUAUCUCUAUGUAUACUUUCGGCACAAAAUUCGCAGUUUAUUACGCAUAGGUAAAAUGACUAUGCCAGAAAUAAUCGAAGUAAUGGAGAAAGUAUAUCAAAGAUUAGGCAAAUGUUUUCAUAACGCAAAACAUGCAACUUCCAUUAGAAGUUUACGUUAUAGAAAUCGUCGAUUUGCUAGUAUUAGACGUCAUAAAGCUGGCCAGGAGCACUCCUCUUCUCGAAGGCCCAAAGCACGUUGUUUUCGUCGCUAUAGAAGUGAAACGACUACAUCAGCAACAUCUUUUCAUUCGCUAUCCGAAUUUCAGGCUAUUACCGAUUAUGCUCCUACACACGAUCGACGACCUACGACAGUUGCAAUUUCGUUGCCUAUAGGCAAUAAUCGUUCUAUAGCCCUUUUGCCACUACCAACUUCAGUACUUUCGGUUAGUGGUUAUUUACCCCAACGUCAAGAGCGAUUGCUCUAUCUACAGCAACGAAGUCUUGGCCAAAAUAUGCGUCAGGCAUUUCAAAGACAAUGCUUGAACCUUUGGAAAAGAUUUUUUAGCACUUCCAAUACAACAACAACAACAACAACAACAACAGCAACAACAAAAGCAAUAGAAAAUAUAGAUAAUCGGCAGAAUUUUCUAAAACGCAUAUUUCAGCAUUUUCAGUUGGUAUCUAAGACAGCGGAAUUGUCCAUGAUUCACAAUGUUUCCAGCCCAAUUCAUACUAGCACCUCGCCAGCCAUGGAUGUGAUUGAUAUUGAUCUGUUGAGGCAAAGUUUGAAUAAUGCCAUUAUUGACUAUCUGCUUAUCGAUGAUGAUACAUAAUUUAGGUCUCUGUCAGUAGUUUAUUGGCUAGCGCCAAAAAAACUUCUUGAAAGCCACACAUGCCGUUUUUCAAUAACUCUCUGAUGUAGGAAACUAGAUACAAUAAACCAGCAGCCAGACACAUAAAAUAAGAAGAAACAUGUUUCUCCUUGAAGUCGUAAUCCUAAUUUCAAAUUUAGUAGACGCUUCACGCCCAAAAGGUGUUUUACUGGCCAUAAAGUGUGCAAAAAAGAAAAACCAACAGAAGAGACUAGGUGAUGAAUGGAAUCACCAUUGAGAACCAGUUGCUAAAAACUGGAAUGACUAUAAGAUAGUGAUGCGAUAGAUUUAGGAUAUUUAUGAACUGGCGCAAUGUCAGAAGACAUUAAGAAUCAUACUCUAUGAUUGGAACAGGUGCUUCAGCAAGAUAAUUAUGCAUAGUUUUCUGCUAUUUAAAUGGGAAUCUUGAUUUCUGACCCAUUUGGACCACUAAGCAGCAAAAUGAUUCAUGAUUCAGCUUGGACUGGCGCCUCCCCAGACCCAUGAAUGUCAUCAUCAAGUGGCCACAGAGUUAUGAGUUCGACACAUGCAACGAGGUUGGAUUUUGGAUUGGAUUGGAUUCACUUGGGUUUUGGGAUGACAUUCCAACGGCGAUGGCGAUGGCGGCGACGACGACGACAGCUAAAUGAAUAUCAUUCGGUAUAUGCCAAAAUAUUUAUGCAUCCCGCACAUUGACUUUGAUUUUUGUGUAUUUUUUGCCAUCUUCUUCUGGGCCUUCUGGGUAGCAGCAACAAGUCUUUGUGCCACGCCCAGCAAAUGGCAAAAGUUGUAAUUUAUGGGCGUUAUGAAUCAAAAGAAAUAAUAUGUCAAACAUGUUUAUGACACUCUUUUUUUUCAUCGGAGUGGUUGGUGUAGUUGCAGCGGCUGUCUUUUGGGCCACGCCGUUGACAUUUUAAUUUGGCAGCCAUCGAUGGCAAUUUAAUAAAUUUGCUGUGGCUUGAUUUUAAUUGGGUUCGGCUCGAAGAAGUGUUGAUCAAUUCAUGAGGAUGUUCAGUGCAGGGAUUUGUAAGAAGGGGAGCCGACUAAAUCCGUAAGACACCUUGAAAUCAAGGAACAACUGUUGAAGGUGUCAACAAAUGGAGUAUAAAUACACAUAAAACCUUGAACUUCUUACUUGGACAUCUGUUUGAAGAAGGGGCGAAACCGAAGCGAAUGCAUAUACAAAAUGGAGAAGAAUGUUAAGUAAAUCUAAAACUAUAUUUUCUAUCUAA